rnacentral:rRNA from 1 species
AUUGAACGCUGGCGGCAUGCUUUACACAUGCAAGUCGAACGGUAACAGGCCGCAAGGUGCUGACGAGUGGCGAACGGGUGAGUAAUGCAUCGGAACGUGCCCAGUCGUGGGGGAUAACUACUCGAAAGAGUAGCUAAUACCGCAUACGAUCUAUGGAUGAAAGCGGGGGACCGUAAGGCCUCGCGCGAUUGGGGCGGCCGAUGUCAGAUUAGGUAGUUGGUGGGGUAAAGGCUCACCAAGCCAACGAUCUGUAGCUGGUCUGAGAGGACGACCAGCCACACUGGGACUGAGACACGGCCCAGACUCCUACGGGAGGCAGCAGUGGGGAAUUUUGGACAAUGGGCGCAAGCCUGAUCCAGCAAUGCCGCGUGCAGGAAGAGGGCCUUCGGGUUGUAAACUGCUUUUGUACGGAACGAAACGGCUCUGGUUAAUACCCGGGGCUAAUGACGGUACCGUAAGAAUAAGCACCGGCUAACUACGUG